rnacentral:rRNA from 1 species
AACGAACGCUGGCGGCAGGCCUAAUACAUGCAAGUCGAACGGAUGUAGCAAUACAUUAGUGGCGCACGGGUGCCUAACGCGUGGGAACAUACCCUUGAGUAAGGAAUAAUGACUGGAAACGGACACUAAUACCUUAUAAUGACUUCGGUCCAAAGAUUCAUCGCUCAAGGAUUGGCCCGCGUCUGAUUAGCUAGUUGGUGAGGUAACGGCUCACCAAGGCGACGAUCAGUAGCUGGUCUGAGAGGAUGAUCAGCCACACUGGGACUGAGACACGGCCCAGACUCCUACGGGAGGCAGCAGUAAGGAAUAUUGGACAAUGGGGGAAACCCUGAUCCAGCCAUGCCGCGUGAGUGAAGAAGGCCUUAGGGUUGUAAAGCUCUUUCAAUAGUGAAGAUAAUGACGGUAGCUAUAGAAGAAGCCCCGGCUAAAUUCGUGCCAGCAGCCGCCGUAA